GUUGAAGUGUUGUAUUUUGCCAAAAGUGCUGAGAUAACAGGAAUUCGCUCAGAGACCAUUUCUGUGCCACAAGAAAUAAGAGCGUUGCAGCUGUGGAAUGAGAUAGAAGCCCGACAUCCUGGAUUGGCUGAUGUCAGGAAUCAGGUGAUAUUUGCUGUCCGUCAAGAAUAUGUCGAGCUUGGAGAUCAACUCCUCCAGCUUCAAUCAGGAGACGAAAUUGCCAUCAUCCCCCCCAUUAGUGGAGGGUAGUGCUUGUGAGCCACUUGGGGAAGAUCUGAAUGAAGUUGAAGAGAACUCUAAAGAUAUAAUAAAAUUCACUUCUGAGAAGCUGUCCAUAGAUGAAGUCUCACAGUUGGUGAUUUCUCCACUCUGUGGUGCAGUAUCCCUCUUUGUAGGGACUACAAGAAAUAACUUUGAAGGGAAAAAAGUCAUUAGCUUAGAAUAUGAAGCAUAUCUCCCAAUGGCAGAAAAUGAAAUCCGAAAGAUCUGUAGCGACAUUAGGCAGAAAUGGCCAGUCAGACACAUAGCAGUGUUUCAUAGACUUGGCUCAGUUCCAGUGUCAGAAGCAAGCAUUAUCAUCGCUGUGUCCUCAGCCCAUAGGGCUGAAUCCCUCCAAGCUGUGAGCUAUGCCAUCGAUACUUUAAAAGCCAAGGUGCCCAUAUGGAAAAAGUUAAGAGUCUAGAAAUGCCUGCAGCAUUUUGGCUGGUAGCAAAGCUGAGGAAUGAAUUAACUGCUCAGAUCAGAAAGCCAGAGCAGAGGACCAGAGGGAAAUGUAUGAAGAAUCAUCAUCAUCCUGGAAAAAAAACAAAGAAUGCUUUUGGGCAACUGGUGAUUAAGUCACACAUUUUUUUUAAGAGUACUAAAAUUAAAUUUGGUAAACCUCUGUCUUUAAA